AACCACGUGGCCUAACGGAUACAGCGUCUGACUUUGGAUCAGGCGAUUGAGGGGUCGAGUCUCUUUGUGGUUG
rnacentral:tRNA from 1 species